CGCGCGCGCUGGAGCUGGCUGUCAAUCAAGCGGCAAGCGACCACAGCAAGUUAGGGUGCGUGUCGCUGUUUGGAUCCCGUAUUGUACUGCUGUGUUGACUCAUUGCCAGAGACACUCCAACUGGGAUUCGUGGGUCUCACGGAGCUGAAGUUAUAUAAGUUACGAACUUGCUAGAACACCAGCCCAGCACAGUUCAAGUGUGGACCAUCCCAUAGGUGCAGAUUCCACUUCACCAGAACUGUGCUAAUGGUCCAUGACAGGAACCUAGUUCCCUCACAUCGGAUGCCAAGAGUGACCAGAACUGUACAAAGUACUCCAGAAGAUACCUCACCAACGUCCUGUACAACCUCAACAUGAUGUCCCAACUCCUAUUCUCAAAGAUCUGAGCAAUGAAGGGAUGUGGACAUCACUGACUAGACUAACAUUAUUGCGCAUUCCUAAUUGCGAAGAGUCAACCACAUGGCUGUUGCGGCUGUACAAGACAUUGAUGAGGCCACUUUUGGAAUACUGCAAACAAUUCUGGUCACCCUGCUAUAGGAAGGAUGUUGUUAACUAGAAAGGGUACUGAAAAAGUUUACAAGGAUGCUGCCAGGGCUGAGGGGUUUGAGUUAUAAGGAGCAGCUGGAUAGGUUGGGACUUUUUACACUGGAGUGUCAGAGGCUAAGGGGUGAACAUAUAGAGUUUGAUAAAUUCAUGAGAGCUAUAAAUAAGGUGAAUAGCCAAGGUCUUUUUCCAAGGGUAGGGGAGUCCAAAACUGGAGGGCUUAGGUUUAAGGUGAGAAGGGAAAGAUUUAAAAAGGACCUGAUGGGCAACUUUUUCACACAAGGUGGUGCGGGUAUGGAAUAAGCUGCCCAAGGAACUGGGAGAGGUGAGUACAAUUACAACAUUUAAAAGACAUUUGGAUAGUUACAUGAUUAGUAAAGGCUUAGAGGAAUAUGGGCCAAACCAGGCAAAUGGAAUUAGGUCAGUUUAGGAUACCUGUUUUCUGUACUCAUUAGAGUUUAUCAUAUUUUUAUGCUUUGUAACUUCCACUGCUCAGUAAAUGAAUAAAUUUCUUGGCAUGUAAAA